UGGGGAAUAUUGCACAAUGGGCGCAAGCCUGAUGCAGCCAUGCCGCGUGUAUGAAGAAGGCCUUCGGGUUGUAAAGUACUUUCAGCGGGGAGGAAGGGAGUAAAGUUAAUACCUUUGCUCAUUGACGUUACCCGCAGAAGAAGCACCGGCUAACUCCGUGCCAGCAGCCGCGGUAAUACGGAGGGUGCAAGCGUUAAUCGGAAUUACUGGGCGUAAAGCGCACGCAGGCGGUUUGUUAAGUCAGAUGUGAAAUCCCCGGGCUCAACCUGGGAACUGCAUCUGAUACUGGCAAGCUUGAGUCUCGUAGAGGGGGGUAGAAUUCCAGGUGUAGCGGUGAAAUGCGUAGAGAUCUGGAGGAAUACCGGUGGCGAAGGCGGCCCCCUGGACGAAGACUGACGCUCAGGUGCGAAGGCGUGGGGAGCAAACA
rnacentral:rRNA from 1 species